CCUACGGGGGGCAGCAGUGGGGAAUAUUGCACAAUGGGGGAAAGCCUGAUGCAGCGACGCCGCGUGAGUGAGGAAGGACUUCGGUAUGUAAAGCUCUAUCAGUAGGGAAGAAAAUGACGGUACCUGACUAAGAAGCCCUGGCUAACUACGGGCCAGCAGCCGCGGUAAUACGGAGGGGGCAAGCGUUAUCCGGAUUUACGGGGGGUAAAGGGAGCGUAGACGGCUGUUCAAGUCAGAAGUGAAAACCCAGGGCUCAACCUUGGGACUGCAUUUGAAACUGAGUAGCUAGAGUGCAGGAGAGGUAAGCGGAAUUCCUAGUGUAGCGGUGAAAUGCGUAGAUAUUAGGAGGAACACCAGUGGCGAAGGCGGCUUACUGGACUGUAACUGACGUUGAGGCUCGAAAGCGUGGGGAGCAAACAGGAUUAGAUACCCGGGUAGUC
rnacentral:rRNA from 1 species